CUGAGCCCAGCCUGCCUCCAGUCCUGUCCUCAAUCACUGCUCAUAGUUUUAUUGCAGGGAGCCGAAGGCCCAUGGGAAAUGACCAACUCGGCAUUCCACUGGAGGCUAUAUGAUCAAACAGCAAACUGUUUAUCAUGAAUGCAGGAUGUGGGCAAACUCACGACUGCUCCUGCCGACAGAAGGUUCGCCCCCUUGGUUCAGUCCCCCUAGGUCCAUGCAGGCUACAAGUGGCACUUGAACAGGCAACAGUCCGAACACAGGGACUAUGAGGACAUGAACGAAGAAGGUCUGCCGGAGCAGAGGAACUGAAAUUGAAAGUCUGUAAAAUCAGAUGGACUGCCAAUUGGAGAAUGAGAGCUGCCCAGCCUGGCCUUAUGUUCUUUCAAUUAAUUCAUAAACAGAAAGGGGGAUAUGCAGGGAGCCGAAGGCCCGUAGGAUUCGGCAUUCCACUGGAGGCUAUGUGAUCAAACAGCAAACUGUUUAUCAUGAAUGCAGAAUGUGGGCAAACUCACAACUGCUCCUGCCGACAGAAGGUUUGCUGGAGGCAAUCACUCCCUGGCACUGAGGUUAUCUACUGCGACAUCUAGAGCCUGUUGUUCGAGGAAUGCAGUCUUGCAAGCCUACUCUGGACUGAGCAGCUGACCCCUUCUUCCACCCCCCUUCUCACUAUCUCUUUUGCCUAAUAAAUAUGGAGGGCUGUGUAAAGCUCAGGGCCCUUGUCUACUAGAAGCAAAGUGCCCCCUGACUCCUUCUUCCAAAUACACUCUUUUGUCUCUUGUCUUUUAUUCCCGCAUUCACUCCCUUUGUUCGGUCCCCCUAGGUCUGUGUGGGUUACACAGUGGCACCCCGAAUAGUGACAGAAUCAGGUGUUCCACAUUUUAUGAACACCCUUCCCAUCAUUUGUCAUUUGGUGAAUUAUUACUCAUCCUUCAGAUUUUAGCUUUCAAGCCAUUUCCUUGGAGAGACUUCCCCCAAGCCCCCUCAUAUUGACCAUUUCCCUCUAUGAUUCUCCUUCAAAGGACACUCUGCUUUUCCAUUUUAUGCUUAUAGUAAGUUGCCUUCCUAUAUUUACUGGUGUGUUUAUCUGAUUAAUAUCUUUCUCCCAACUAAACUGCACAGAAAUGUUGAGAUGGGCCCUGAAGUUCUCCAAGGUAGAUAGAUGGUGGCAGUGAAGUUGUGAUAAGGAGGGAGGGCAAGAGGGGACGUGGCCAGAAGCCCACAGGUCCCUGGCUGAUGGAAACAUGAGGUGUGAAGAGGGACAGCAUUUUCAGAAACUUUGAGUGCCGUUUUCCCUCUUGACCCCACAACCCCCUCCACCUAGGUCCUCAUUUCCUUGCUCCUCUUGAUAAUAAAAGUUUUCAAAAGAAUCAUUCAUGCCCCUUGUCUCCUAUUGCUCUCAUCACAGUCACAAAAUCA
rnacentral:lncRNA from 10 species